CCCUUAGAUGUUCUGGGCCGCACGCGCGCUACACUGAUGCAUUCAACGAGUCUAAAACCUGGUCUGAGAGGGCUGGGUAAUCUUUUGAAAGUGCAUCGUGAUUGGGAUAGAUGAUUGCAAUUCUUCAUCUUCAACGAGGAAUGCCUAGUAAACGCAAGUCAUCAGCUUGCAUUGAUUACGUCCCUGCCCUUUGUACACACCGCCCGUCGCUCCUACCGAUUUAACGAUCCGAUGAAAACUGUGGAUUGAGAGUCUGAGUGGGUUCGCCUACCUCAACUUUCGAGAAGCGGUUUAAAUCUUAUCGUUUAGAGGAAGGAGAAGUCGUAACA
rnacentral:rRNA from 1 species